rnacentral:rRNA from 1 species
UACGUAGGGUGCGAGCGUUGCCCGGAUUUAUUGGGCAUAAAGGGCGCGUAGGCGGCCACGCACGUCCGUUGUGAAAUCGCCCGGCUCAACUGGGCGGGGUCAGCGGAUACGGCGUGGCUAGAGCAAGCUAGGGGGCAAUGGAAUUCCCGGUGUAGUGGUGGAAUGCGUAGAUAUCCGGAGGAACACCGAAGGCGAAGGCAGUGUCCUGGGGAGCACCUGACGCUCAGAUGCGAAAGCCAGGGGAGCGAACGGG